rnacentral:rRNA from 1 species
GAUGAACGCUGGCGGCGUGCCUAAUACAUGCAAGUCGAGCGAACAGAUAAGGAGCUUGCUCCUUUGACGUUAGCGGCGGACGGGUGAGUAACACGUGGGUAACCUACCUAUAAGACUGGGAUAACUUCGGGAAACCGGAGCUAGUACCGGAUAAUAUUUCGAACCGCAUGGUUCGAUAGUGAAAGAUGGUUUUGCUAUCACUUAUAGAUGGACCCGCGCCGUAUUAGCUAGUUGGUAAGGUAACGGCUUACCAAGGCGACGAUACGUAGCCGACCUGAGAGGGUGAUCGGCCACCCUGGAACUGAGACACGGUCCAGACUCCUACGGGGGGCAGCAGUAGGGAAUCUUCCGCAAUGGGCGAAAGCCUGACGGAGCAACGCCGCGUGAGUGAUGAAGGUCUUCGGAUCGUAAAACUCUGUUAUUAGGGAAGAACAUACGUGUAAGUAACUGUGCACGUCUUGACGGUACCUAAUCAGAAAGCCACGGCUAACUACGUG